AACCCUUGAUUAUCAUAAUUUGUUGCUUUGGUGGGCCGCGCAAGCACCGGCUUCGGCUGGAUCGUGCCCGCCAGAGGACCACAACUCUGUAUCAAAUGUCGUCUGAGUACUAUAAAAUAGUUAAAACUUUCAACAACGGAUCUCUUGGUUCUGGCAUCGAUGAAGAACGCAGCGAAAUGCGAUAAGUAAUGUGAAUUGCAGAAUUCAGUGAAUCAUCGAAUCUUUGAACGCACAUUGCGCCCUCUGGUAUUCCGGAGGGCAUGCCUGUUCGAGCGUCAUAAUGACCAAAUCACCCCCGUGGUGGACUUGGAGCUGGCCUGUACUGGCCUCUCUUAAAAUCAGUGGCGGUGCUCUUAAGCUCUACGCGUAGUAAUUUCUCUCGCUACAGAGUCUUGAUUGUACUUGCCAACAACCCCAAUUUUUAUAAGGUUGACCUCGGAUCAGGUAGGGAUACCCGCUGAACUUAAGCAUAUCAAUAAGCGGAGGAA
rnacentral:rRNA from 1 species